rnacentral:rRNA from 1 species
GAGUUUGAUCCUGGCUCAGGACUAACGCGGCGGCGUGCCUAACACAUGCAAGUCGAACGGGCGGAGUGAGAGUAGCAAUACUUUUGCCGAGCUAGUGGCGAACGGGUGAGUAACGCGUAAGUAAUGUACCCCUUUGUAUGGAAUACCCACUCGAAAGAGUAGCUAAUACCAUAUAGUCUUUGAUAGAGGCAUCUUUAUCGAAGUAAAGAUUAAUCGCGAAGGGAUCAGCUUGCGUCCUAUUAGCUAGUUGGUAGGGUAAUGGCCUACCAAGGCAUCUAUGGGUAACUGGUCUGAGAGGAUGAACAGUCACACUGGAACUGAGAUACGGUCCAGACUCCUACGGGAGGCAGCAGUGAGGAAUUUUGCGCAAUGGAGGGAACUCUGACGCAGCAACGCCGCGUGAGUGAAGACGGCCUUCGGGUUGUAAAGCUCUGUCAGGAGGGACGAGUAAGGACU